UUUACAUUUAGAGGGGAAAAAAGCUAAAAAUCUGGGAAAAGUGAGAUUUUUAGCUUUUUUCCCCUCUAGAGGGAUU